rnacentral:rRNA from 1 species
UGGGGAAUAUUGCACAAUGGGCGCAAGCCUGAUGCAGCCAUGCCGCGUGUAUGAAGAAGGCCUUCGGGUUGUAAAGUACUUUCAGCGGGGAGGAAGGGAGUAAAGUUAAUACCUUUGCUCAUUGACGUUACCCGCAGAAGAAGCACCGGCUAACUCCGUGCCAGCAGCCGCGGUAAUACGGAGGGUGCAAGUGUUAAUCGGAAUUACUGGGCGUAAAGCGCACGCAGGCGGUUUGUUAAGUCAGAUGUGAAAUCCCCGGGCUCAACCUGGGAACUGCAUCUGAUACUGGCAAGCUUGAGUCUCGUAGAGGGGGGUAGAAUUCCAGGUGUAGCGGUGAAAUGCGUAGAGAUCUGGAGGAAUACCGGUGGCGAAGGCGGCCCCCUGGACGAAGACUGACGCUCAGGUGCGAAAGCGUGGGGAGCAAACA